rnacentral:rRNA from 1 species
UACGGGGGGGGCAAGCGUUGUUCGGAAUUACUGGGCGUAAAGAGCUCGUAGGCGGUGUGUCGCGUCGGCCGUGAAAACCUGCAGCUCAACUGUGGGCUUGCGGUCGAUACGGGCAUCACUGGAGUUCGGCAGGGGAGACUGGAAUUCCUGGUGUAGCGGUGAAAUGCGCAGAUAUCAGGAGGAACACCGGUGGCGAAGGCGGCUUCCUGGACCGAUACUGGCGCUGAGGCGCGAAAGCUAGGGGAGCAAACGGG